UUUAGUGGAAAAGGAUGAUGCUUUGAAAGGAGGUUUUGGUGCGAGUAAAGCUUAUAGUGAUUCUUUGAUAUGUGUGAAGCAUGCUCCAAGUAAAUCUGAAGUUCGUCAUAUGAUGGACAAUCUAGUUUUGAGGGAUGAAUCUGAUGACUCUAACGGACCUUCUGAUGCACAAUGUGUUCCUAAGUGUAAAAGAAUAUAAUAAGCUGGUCGAGGAGUUGUGCGGGUGUGGGUACCAGCUUGCUUUUAAGUAUCCAGAUGAUGAGAUAUCAAGCCCUCCUCCUCAGAGGUAUCCAUUGUACCAUUAUAGCGAGGAGGAGGAGUGGGAGGUCAUAUCAGAUGAUGGUGAUGAGGUCGAGGAAGAGAUGGUGGAAGAGGUUGUAGUAGCUUCAAAUAACUCUGUGGAACUUUGUGGCGACUAAAGCAUCUGGGUUGUCUAGUUCAAUUUAGUGGAGUUUGAUCUGGUUAUACUUUCUCCUAGUUUCAAGUCUACUUUCUAUCUGAAUGUAGAAUUCCGUA